UACGUAGGAGGCGAGCGUUGUCCGGAUUUACUGGGCGUAAAGCGCGCGCAGGCGGCACACUAAGUACGAUGUGAAAUCUCCCUGCUCAACGGGGAGGGUGCAUAGUAAACUGGUGAGCUAGAGGACGGUAGAGGGGGGUGGAAUUGCUGGUGUAGCGGUGAAAUGCGUAGAGAUCAGCAGGAACACCCGUGGCGAAGGCAGGUCUCUGGGCCGAUACUGACGCUGAGGAGCGAAAGCGUGGGGAGCGAACAGG
rnacentral:rRNA from 1 species